rnacentral:rRNA from 1 species
UACGUAGGGGGCAAGCGUUGUCCGGAUUUAUUGGGCGUAAAGAGCGUGUAGGCGGCCAGAUAGGUCCGUUGUGAAAACUCGAGGCUCAACCUCGAGACGCCGAUGGAAACCAUUUGGCUAGAGUCCGGAAGAGGAGAGUGGAAUUCCUGGUGUAGCGGUGAAAUGCGUAGAGAUGCGGAGGAACACCGAUGGCGAAGGCAGCCCCCUGGGCCAACACUGACGCUCAGGCACGAAAGCGUGGGGAGCAAACAGG